CUUUAAUCUAGUCCUGCACAGCUGAUUUUUCCUUCAAUGAAGUGUAAAGUCAGUACCUCUGUGGAGUCUAAUGAACAGAUGUCAUAUUCUGAUGUGCUCCCAAAAGAUUUCAUGCUGUGCAUAUAUCAAAUUGGAAAAAACAUUCUCUGUAAGAAUAUGAAAAGCUAGUUGGUAAUGAGGUGUAAGUGUUAAAAGUUUUGCUCUUCUGCUGUUGGGAAGCUUUGUUGUUUCUGCUGGGAGACUGAAUAGAGAAACUUAAAAGUUAAAAUAUUCAAAAAGAAAAAGAAAGGUUUUAGUCUGGCAGCUGAUAGAAGCUUUGAGUCAAGCAAUUAAACCUCAAAUUUUGAUGCGUGUUUUGUAUCUGUGGUGAAUUAACUGCUCUAAACUGAAAGUUGCUGUGAGGUCAGAAAUUCCAGAAUUUCUUCAGAAUUUCUUCUUCAUUCUCUCUUCAUUUAGCAUAAAAUGCCCCAUUUAAUUGGGGUGUUUGUGUUCCACUUUUGGUGCCAGAGUUUAAAUUAUGAAGCACUUAAUUUUUUUGUUGUUGGGAGGGAGAGAUGCAGAAUUGCUAAUUGAAAGGGAUUUGUUAAAAUCUCUUGGGAGGUGGAACCUCUGUUUUAAUCUGGACUGCUUCACUGCAGAGCAGCCUUCUGCUUGGUGGUCAGCAAAUCCUUCUGGGUAGAGAGAGAUGAGGUGAUGGUUAGGGGCAGCGUACAAGAGAAAGGCCUGUGAGGAUAGCAAGGAGGGACAAGGACGAUGUUGGCUUAGCUCCAGAGUGUUUCAAAUGGAGGAAGCAGGAAUUUUUCUUGACCUUCCCUUUCUGAGUGAGAAGAGAACAAAGAAAAGUUCUGGAAGAUCUUUGGAGAGCAUCUGGCAUCUCAGAGGAGGAAAAGUCAGUUCAGAGUUCUCCAUGAAAGAUGACUUGUUAUAAUCUCACAUCUUCAUAUCCAUAGACCUGACCUUUAGCAACAUGAUAUAUG
ensembl:lncRNA